CCUACGGAGGGCUGCAGUGGGGAAUAUUGGACAAUGGGGGCAACCCUGAUCCAGCCAUGCCGCGUGUGUGAAGAAGGCCCUCGGGUUGUAAAGCACUUUCAGUGAGGAAGAACGCCUGGUGGUUAAUACCCAUCAGGAAAGACAUCACUCACAGAAGAAGCACCGGCUAACUCCGUGCCAGCAGCCGCGGUAAUACGGAGGGUGCGAGCGUUAAUCGGAAUUACUGGGCGUAAAGCGCGCGUAGGUGGCUUGAUAAGCCGGUUGUGAAAGCCCCGGGCUCAACCUGGGAACGGCAUCCGGAACUGUCAAGCUAGAGUGCAGGAGAGGAAGGUAGAAUUCCCGGUGUAGCGGUGAAAUGCGUAGAGAUCGGGAGGAAUACCAGUGGCGAAGGCGGCCUUCUGGACUGACACUGACACUGAGGUGCGAAAGCGUGGGUAGCAAACAGGAUUAGAUACCCGUGUAGUC
rnacentral:rRNA from 1 species